CUAAAAGCAAACCCUAAGUGCCCCCACCCAACAUCAUAUUCUCUGCUCCAAAGAAACUGCCGCCCCAAAUGGGAAGACUGAUUCUUCCCUAAACUUCUCCUGCCCACUGCUUCUGCUUCUUCAACUUCUUUUUCCCUAAACAACUUGCAGCAAACCAGCACCCAAGGACAGCCGCACGCCGCACCCAACCGCAACCGCUUGCUUCUGCUCUGUCGUUCGCAAAUUGUUGAAGAAACCAAGGCAGCUGCUAUAAUAUUUAAUCUGUGCUAAAGAAAAGGAAGAGAAGUGAGGAAUGGUCAUUGUUGAAGAACCAAGAGCUGAAGGUAAAGAAGGAUGAAAAUGCUUAAAAUAGAAAGAUAAUCUUUAAGAAGGCUGAGCAAAAUAGCAAAGAAUACAUAGUAAAGUAUUAUGUUAAUGCCAACCACGUGAUGCCUUUGAUCCGAUUUACUUUGCAUGGAGCAGUACUCUUCUAGGGGAAUUGUUGGAAACCCACACGUUUCUUGCCACCAGACAAUCUUGAUAAACAUGAUAUUAUUUCCAACAAUAGCUUGUACAAGAUUGUUGAUAUAAUUCAAAGUUUGAAUGGCUUGUCAAGACCUAUCAUCGAAUAUGCUUUGAGCAGCCUGUCAAGAUCCAUCAUCGAAUGCAAAAAAAAAAAAUCAUCAGAAGCUCAUCCUCUUAUCCUCUUAUAUCAGGUAUACUUUUUCCUUACCCAGAAUGAAGAACAAUUUCAAGACUGUCCACCCAUGCCACCACAUGGACAAUUGGGAUAUGGAUAUGGUACAAUAGAGGAAGUUAUAUUUUCUUCAACACAGCAAGUUGUAUUUCCUUCAACGGCAAUGUCGUUAAUAAUACCUAGUAGAUAUUAUUUCCAACAAUAGCUUGUACAAGAUUGUUGAUAUAAUUCAAAGUUUGAAUGGCCUGUCAAGACCCAUCAUCGAAUAUGCAAGCUUUGAGCAGCCUGUCAAGACCCAUCAUCGAAUGCAAAAAAAAAAAAUCAUCAGAAGCUCAUCCCCUCAUCUUCUUAUACCAGAUAUACUUUUUCCUUACCAAAAAUGAAGAACAGUUUCAAGACUGUCCACCCAUGCCAUCACAUGGACAAUUGGGAUAUGGAUAUGGUACAGUAGAGGAAGUUAUAUUUUCUUCGACACAGCAAGUUGUAUUUCCUUCAACGGCAAUGUCGUUAAUAAUACCUAGUAGGUAGUAAUUGAUUAUUGUAUGUAUCAUAUUUUUGAUAUUUUUGGUGUAAUGUUAUAAUCUUUUUAAAAUUUGAUCUAUUGGAACAGAUAUUAUUUUCAACAAUAGCUUGUACAAGAUUGUUGAUAUAAUUUAAAGUUUGAAUGGCCUGUCUAGACCCAUCAUCGAAUAUGUAAGCUUUGAGCAGCCUGUCAAGACCCAUCAUCGAAUGCAAAAAAAAAAAAUCAUCAGAAGCUCAUCCUCUUAUACUAGGUAUACUUUUUCUUUACCCAGAAUGAAGAACAGUUUCAAGACAUGCCACCACAUGGACAAUUGGGGUGGACAAUUGGGAUAUGGAUAUGGUACAGUAGAAGAAGUUACAGCAAGUUGUAUUUCCUUCAACGGCAAUGUCAUUUAAAUCUUCAUGCAAGAUAUAUUUGAUCACAUAUAUAAUCUUCAAUGUUAUUGUAAAGUUGUAUUUGCUUCAAUGGUAAUGUCAUUUAAAUCUUCAUGUAAGUUAUAUUUGAUCACAUAUAUAAUCUUCAAUUUCAUUGUAA